UCGUCGUAACACACAGUUUUCGCGUCGGGAAGGUCCGGUCGGGAAUCUACCUGUUGGCCGGAUUCCGUUUCAGAACCCCUGCACGGUGCACCUGGAUUCGUCGCUCCAGCUUCUUUAGCGACCGCCGCUGGUUCAAUAAAAGUUGUCAUCAGAUGUGUCGCCCCCAGGAAGAAAUAAAUCUCAAAACGAUGAAUCCAUCGGACAAUCGAAAAAAGCUCAUCAAAACAGCAAUACAAUCCCCAGAGUCCAAGGUUAUUUCCAUACCACGGAUGUCGUGGGAGCACCGGCUCGUUAGGUUGUUAGUUUAUGGACGCUCCCCGCUAUCGAAUCAUCGCUGAUUGCAUGGGGGGGAAUUUAAAAUGAAGUACGGCUGAUUAAACAGAAUACUAAAACAUGAGCACUAUGUUCAAAACCUUUUUAAAA